GACGAACGCUGGCGGCGUGCUUAACACAUGCAAGUCGAACGGAAAGGCUCCAGCUUGCUGGAGUACUCGAGUGGCGAAAGGGUGAGUAACACGUGGGUAAUCUGCCCUGCACUCUGGGAUAAGCCUGGGAAACUGGGUCUAAUACUGGAUAUGACCUUUCUCCUUAUGGGGUUUGGUGGAAAGUUUUUCGGUGUAGGAUGAGCCCGCGGCCUAUCAGCUUGUUGGUGGGGUGAUGGCCUACCAAGGCGACGACGGGUAGCCGGCCUGAGAGGGUGAUCGGGCACAUUGGGACUGCGAUACGGCGCAGACUCCUGCGGGAGGCAGCAGUGGGGAAUAUUGCACAAUGGGCGGAAGCCUGAUGCAGCGACGCCGCGUGAGGGAUGACGGCCUUCGGGUUGUAAACCUAUUUCAGCAGGGACGAAGCGUAAGUGACGGUACCUGCAGAAGAAGCACCGGCUAACUACGUG
rnacentral:rRNA from 1 species